AAUAUGAACAGCUAUGUUUAAUUUAUCAAAUUUGCAAGCAAUGAUGAUUCCAUUAAAAUGAAAAAAAAUCAUGUUUUAGGAUUAGUUAAAUGUGGUAGCAAAUGCUGGUACUGAUUAGAAUUCUUACAACUGCAAGUGACAGGAAACAGACUAACUUAAGCAAAAGGACUGCAUUAAGCCAGGAAAUUCCAAAAGUCCCUGUAGUAUAACAGUUUCAGGUAUGGCUGGAUUCAGGACUCCAGAAUAUAACCAGGACUCAGUUUCCUGCCAUUUCUCUUUCUUUUCCGCAGGGUUGGUGUCAGUGGCAGGUUUCACAUGCUGGCAAGCUGGAGCCAGCAGCUCCAGCUCCAGCUCUAGCACCCCUGGAGUUUUGAGUCCAGUGAAAAAAACGAUGAGAGGCUUUGUCCCAGAUAUUUUAGCCUGAGUCUCAAUGCCUCUCAUUGGCUCCAACAGAUCACAUGCCCAGCCCUGAGCCAAUCAACAUGGCCACAUCCGGGUCAGUUACUACUGCCUCCGCCCCAUGCUGUGGAGCCCGGCUGGAAGCCCGGGGGUUGUUGGGUCUUCACCCGGGAAAUGGGGAGAGAGACUGCGGGGCAGCUGGCACCACAUACGUGCCUUACAGAUAAGAGUUAUAUAGUAACUCAGAGCUCAGUAACAUCAGCAUUUUGGAAGUAGGAUAGGAAGAAAGUCUCAUCACAAGGGAGCCCUGUGGAGAGGAAUGAGCACAGAAUUUGGAGUCAGAAGAGUGGAAGGCCUGGGCUUGGGGCCUGGCUGCACCGUGCCGGCUGGAUUGUUCUGGGAAAGCUGCCCAACUCUCUGCUCCGCAGUCCCCACAUCUGUCACUAGGGAUCAUAUCUGCCUCACAGGAUCAGCUGAGAUAAGGCACGUGUGUAAAAGGCUGUACAAAUGUUAGUUACUAUAAGGUUGUCUCAAAAAAAUAAAACCCACGGCAAAGAGUAUCCCAAGGCAGGCUCAUUUUACUCCAAUUACCAUUUGGCACCGAGCAGAUCAGGGGACUUACUGCAUGACACAGCAAGUCAGUGGAAGAGCCAAGGAGUGCACUCAUCCAAGUUACUGAUUCCGAUGUCAGCAAAACCUGCUGAAACCCAUCUUCACACUGCAGUUCAGAGGGUGUCCCCAGGAAGCACCUCUCUGCAAAGCAUGUUCAACGUAGUUCCCAGUGGCCUGCCAAAUGGUCAGCAGCAAGGUGUAACUGGAUGUCGCUUCCAGGAAGCAGAGUGAAAAGAGACAAGGAGUAGGAAACUAAUGUCCAGAGUCGGCCAUUUGCCCCAGGGACCGGAGUGGAGACUGCAUUUCUAAGUGCUUCCUCUGUCCACAGCCCUCCUCCCCCAUACCUUUUAAAAACAGAUUUGCUGGCUGGGUACGGUGGCUCAUGCCUGUAAUCCCAGCACUUUGGGAGGCUGAGGCAGGUGAAUUGCCUGAGCUCAGGAGUUCGAGACCAACCUGGACAAAACCCUAUCUCUAGCAAAAAAUACAAAAAGUUAGCCGGGCCUUGUGGUGCAUACCUGUGGUUCCAGCCACUGGGAAGGCUGAAGUGGGAGGAUCACUUGAGCCUGGGAGGUGGAGGUUGGAAUGAGCUGAGAUUGCGCCACUGCACUCCAACCUGAGUGACAGAGUGAGACCCCAUCUCACAAAAACAAAACACAGAUUUGUUGGCUGGGCAUAGUGGCACAUGCCUGUAAUCCCAGCACUUUGGGAGGCCGAAGCGGAAGGAUCACUGGAGUCCGGGAGUUUGAGACCAGCCCAAGCUGUGCAGCCCAGGCAACACAGCAAGACUUUGUGUUUCUUUUACAAAAAAAAAAUUAGCCAGGUUUGGUAGUGUACACCUGUAGUCCUAGCUACUCUGGAGGCUGGGGUGGGUGGAUCUCUUGCUUCCAAGAGUUCAAGGCUGCAGUGAGCUGAUUAUACCACUGUACUGUGGCCUGGGAAACAGAGUGAGACCCUGUCUCAAAAAAAAAAAAAACACCCAAAAGACAAAACACCACAUUUGUUGAAAUAUAAUUCACAUACAAUAAAAAUACAUCGUUUUAAAAUGGACAAUUCAUGGUGAUGUGCACCCGUAGUCCCAGCUACUUGGAAGGCUGAGAUGAGAGGAUCGCUGUGAGUCAAUGAAACCUCUUUCCUUUAUAAAUUACCCAGUCUCAGGUAUUUCUUCAUAACAGAAUGAGAAUGGACUAAUACAUCCUCCCACCUCAUCCUCCUAAAGUGUUGGGAUUACAGGCGUGAGCCACCGCACCCAGCUGUUUACACUCUCUUGAUGGUGUCCUUUAAAGCACACAAGUUGGUAGGAAGCAGUAGCUCAUGCCUGUAAUCCCAGCACUUUGGGAGGCCCAGGUGGGAGGAUUGCUUGAGGCCAGAUUGGGCAACAUAGCAAGACCUCCAUCUCUACAAAAUUUUAAAAAUUAGCUGGGUGUGGUGGUGCAUGCCUGUAGUCCCAGGUACUCAGGAAGUCAAGGCUGAAGGAUCACUGCAGCCUUGAGUCCGGCAGGUUGAAACUGCAGUGAGUUGUGAUCGCACCACUGCACCCUAGUCUGACCAAAAGAAUGAGACCCUGUCUCAGAAAAAAAAAAAAGAAAAAAAGGGGAAAAAACCCAUAAAAUUUUAAAAUCAUUAUUAAGUCUAAUUUAUCUAUUAUUUUUUCUACUCUUGCUUGUGCUUUUGGUGUCAAUCUAAGAAGUCUUUGCCUUACCCAAGGUUUACUGCUGCACUUUCUUCUAAGAGUUUUAUAGUUUUCGUUCUUACAAUUAGGUCUGUGAUCCAUUUUGAGAUAUUUUUAUUUAUUUACUUUUUUUGAGAUGGAGUUUUGCUCUUGUUGCCUAGGCUGGAGUGCAAUGGCGCGAUCUCAGCUUACUGCAACUUCUGCCUCCCAGGUUCAAGUGAUUCUCCUGUCUCAGCCUCCCGAGUAGCCUGGAAUUACAUGCACAUGCCACCACGCCUGGCUAAUUUUGCAUUUUUAAUAGAGAUGGAAUUUCACCAUGUUGGCCAGACUGGUCUCAAACUCCUGACCUCACAUGAUCCGCCUGCCUUGGCCUCCCAAAGUGCUGGGAUUACAAGUAUGAGCCACCAUGUCUGGCCAAGUUAAUGUUUGUUUAUC
rnacentral:lncRNA from 1 species